UACAGAGGGUGCAAGCGUUGUUCGGAAUUAUUGGGCGUAAAGGGCGCGUAGGCGGUGCGGUAAGUCUGUAGUGAAAUCUCUGGGCUCAACUCAGAGUCUGCUGCAGAAACUGCCGUGCUUGAGUGUGGGAGAGGUGAGUGGAAUUCCCGGUGUAGCGGUGAAAUGCGUAGAUAUCAGGAAGAACACCGGUGGCGAAGGCGGUGGGCUGGGCCGGCACUGACGCUGAGGAGCGAAAGCGUGGGGAGCGAACAGG
rnacentral:rRNA from 1 species